rnacentral:rRNA from 1 species
GGGGGGGGGGGGGGGGGGGGGGGGGGGGGGGGGGGGGGGGGGGGAGGCGGUGCGGUGGGGGGGUGGGCGAGUGGCGGACGGGGGGGUGGGACGUGAGUAACGUGCCCGUGACUUUGGGAUAACUUCAGGGAACUGGGGCUCAUACCGGGUAGGAGCUCCUGCUGCAUGUGGGGGGGUGGCAAGUUUCGGCGGUUGGGGAUGGACUCGCGGCUUAUCAGCAUGUUUGUGGGGUAGUGGCUUACCAAGGCUUUGACGGGUAGCCGGCCUGAGAGGAGGACCGGCCACAUUGGGACUGAGAUACGGCCCAGACUCCUACGGGAGGCAGCAGUGGGGAAUAUUGCAAAAUGGGCGGAAGCCUGAUGCAGCAACGCCGCGUGCGGGAUGACGGCCUUCGGGUUGUAAACCGCUUUCGCCUGUGACGAAGCGUGAGUGACGGUAAUGGGUAAAGAAGCACCGGCUAACUACGUG